AGCGAACGCUGGCGGCAGGCCUAACACAUGCAAGUCGAACGGAUCCUUCGGGAUUAGUGGCGGACGGGUGAGUAACACGUGGGAACGUGCCCUUUGGUUCGGAACAACUCAGGGAAACUUGAGCUAAUACCGGAUGUGCCCUUCGGGGGAAAGAUUUAUCGCCAUUGGAGCGGCCCGCGUCUGAUUAGCUAGUUGGUGAGGUAACGGCCCACCAAGGCGACGAUCAGUAGCUGGUCUGAGAGGAUGAUCAGCCACACUGGGACUGAGACACGGCCCAGACUCCUACGGGAGGCAGCAGUGGGGAAUCUUGCGCAAUGGGCGAAAGCCUGACGCAGCCAUGCCGCGUGAAUGAUGAAGGUCUUAGGAUUGUAAAAUUCUUUCAGUGGGGACGAUAAUGACGGUACCCGCAGAAGAAGCUCCGGCUAACUUCGUG
rnacentral:rRNA from 1 species